GAAAAAGAACACAUUUCAUAGCUCUGAAACCAGUGAUCACUACAUGUCACAAGAGACCACCCCACAGCAAGUAAGAUAUUAGAAAUGUUGGGGACUGCUGAACAACAAAUUUUCACAGCAGACUGGCACAAAGUUGUUUAGCACAGAUGUUUCUGUAAUUGUGAUACACUGGGAAAAUUCUCAGUGCUCUAACUUCAAUGGCUCCCAGACUCACACCUGUGUGGUGUGGUGGUCUGCUCUGAACACACUGGCCUGUAAUGUGAACCAUGUGCUAACAUGUGCAUGGCUCAAAAACCUGUUGAACCCCCCUUUCCACCCCUGUUCCCCUCACAUAUUUAGGCUUGUUUCCUCAUUUAUAUUUUUUGUGUUUAAAGGAUUUACAAAAUGGAGAAAAUAGAGACAGCAGAAAUCUUAUGGGACUGGAGAUGUCGGAGGGAUUUGGCCAGGUGGUUCAUUCAUUGAAAACACCCUCUGCUGUUCCAGAUAAAUUAUUGUACAAACAAACAAUGGAAACCUCUGCCCUGGCAACUGAAAAGAAAGAUCCCAGCCAUUGCAUUUGUAAGGUUUCUCCAGCUUUAUUCACUCUUUUCAAUCAAAUCCUUCUGUGAAUCAAAAAGAAUUAGCCAUAAGCCAUUUUAAACAAAAGAUGUACAUCUGGAAAGAGAUUACCUAAACACAAAUGUACAACAGAAAUCUGCAAGUCACAAAAUCAUAAUCUUUCUGCAUUCUUAAAGUCUUAUGCCAAAAGGCUUUGCUUAUAUUGUAAGUUUUCUGUUUGGCCUCUUCUGUCUAUAUUCCCUCAUGAAAUGGACUUUUUAACAUGAGGAGGGAAAUCUGGUUCUAGAUGUUUAGCUCGAUGGAGCAGCCUGUUAAUUUUCAUCCUCUGGGCCAUGCUGAUCUUCUCUAGUGUAGAUGUGGCACUAGCCAAUAUCAAAUCAGUCUUUGUGUUUGCAAUUUCUCUUUUAAAAACAUCUUUCACAUCUUAUUAGUUUUUCACUCAGCCAAUAAAAGCUACUUAUGCAUGUAGCAUAAGCCUUUCAGUACUACUUUUAACCUGAUUUUCUUAGGGGAUUAAUGGCAGAAUUCAGUGCAUUCAAUGUCUUCCUAAAACAGACAUCUAAAAGUAGAAGACACCUCCCUUCUUAGCUGAAAAUCUCCCAGAGAUGCUUUGCAAAUUUUAUUCAUCAUGCAAUGCCAGAGAUGUCUGCUGUCAGGACACAGUGCUUGACUCUUCCCAGGACAGUGAGCAAGGACAGAACAGUAUAAAUUCUGCCUCACUUCUCCUCAGAAACUGUAGUUGGUGUGCUCAGAACUAGAAUUUC
rnacentral:lncRNA from 1 species